UUCCCCAAUAGUUGACCGACUUUACAAGUGAAAUCACAAAACAAGAUCAGAAGCCCAAUGCACUUCGCGUGGUGUGGAUGAGAGCUAAAGUGUACUUUUUCCUGGUAGCUAUAGUCUUCAACCUACGCACCCCUAUCUUCCCAAAGAAAAGAAGGAGGCCAAGUCGAACAGCCUCAUCCCCAUGCCCGAAACCAGUGCUCACCACGCUGUCUCUGAGCCUGCGCUGCUCAGGCCGGUGUCUUCUGGUCACAUGUCUCAGCAGGUGCCUUCUCUUUUCCUUCCUACUCCAUUUGCAACCCAGCCUCUCAAGGUUCCGUUUCCAUACUCAGUACCCAAAAGUUUAUUUUGUUUCUCGUAAGUCUGCACCAACUUCCCCUCGACCUGUGCAAAAGAGCCCAAGCCAAAUUUCCUAGUUUCUACCGAAGAAACCUGACGUUACGUGUCCUUGGUCUCCUGCACCGGGUAGGCUGACGUGAGCAAGGGGAAGCAAAAUAAAGAAGCGCUCCCCACAAGAUCGGGGUAGCUCCGUGGCCGCUCGAGGGGGUGAGCGGCCGAGGGUUUUGGAUUCAGACUGGAGCGAACCAACUCUUGAAAAGGUUGGAACUGUUCAGAGACAGACUUGGCAACUUGAGGAGCGACGUCAAAGCCCUUGAAUAUUAUUUGAGUGUGGGGGCGACUGCUGUGGGCCGCUAGGGUUACGCGUCGCUCUGUCGCCUCCCCCAAGGAGCUCCGUAAUGGUCCGCGCCCUAAAGGCGCGCGAGGCUUGAAGCGCUGACCCAGGAACCGGGUGGGGGAGGUAGCCGAGGCGUCUCUGGCAGGUCUUGGAUGGCAAUGGAUACUGAGCGGGCCGAGAUGCGCGCCUUGGAGGCGGAGAUUGCAGUGCUGCAGCAGGCUAGCAAGCAGCUGCCGGCGCCCUGGGAAGACGGGGCCCGCGUCCGAAAAUCAUUUCAAGAGAUACACCAGUCAGAUUCUGCAGGAUGGGAAUCUUCAAAAGACCCGAAAACUCAUCUUAGACAUUUAGAAGCAGAACUUUCAUUUCUAAGUAUGCUUACUGGCUUCAAUAUAACAGAUUACUCCAAGAAGACAGAAGAUUUAACAAGCACUGAGAUGACAGAAGAAAGUAGGCACCUGCAGCCUUCUCCUUAUUGUUGUUGUUGUUUAUCGGUGGUAGUUCUGGGGAUUGAACCCAGGCUUCACAUAUGCAGGGCAAGAGCUCAACCACUAAUCUACAUCCCCAGAACUUUUAAAAUUUUAUUUUGAGAUGAAAUCUUGCUUAGUUUCCCAGGCUGGCCUCAAACUUGCAAUCUUCCUGCCUGAGUCUCCCAGGUAGCUGGGAAUUACAGGCAUGCCUA
rnacentral:lncRNA from 1 species